rnacentral:rRNA from 1 species
GGCCGGUGCUGUGUUGGCUCUCUGAGUCGAUUCAGGGCCUGGUCAUCCGUAUGGGAAACCAGUUCGACCUUCACUGGUCGGCUGGCGGAUCAUACACUUUACUUUGAAAAAAUUAGAGUGUUUCAGGCAGGCAAUUGCUUGGAUACUGUAGCAUGGAAUAAUGGAAUAGGGCUGCUGCCCCAUUUUGUUGGUUUCUGGGACCGUAGCA